GGAAGGGUGGCUCAGUGGUAGAGCACCACCAACUUGUUGGUGGGAGCUUGAUAGGCUUCGCGUGGUUCGAAUCCCGCCCCUUCCG
rfam:Haladaptatus sp. R4 NODE_3_length_529312_cov_26.7524_ID_1029, whole genome shotgun sequence.